CUCUUAUCAAGAGCGGUGGAGGGAAUAGGCCCUUUGAAGCCCGGCAACCUGAAAGUUAGUAACUCUUACUUUUCUACGGUGCUAAAUCCUACAGGUCACAUGAACUGGAAGAUAAGAG
rfam:Bacilli bacterium VT-13-104 contig026, whole genome shotgun sequence.